GACGAACGCUGGCGGCGUGCUUAACACAUGCAAGUCGAACGGAAAGGCCCCUUUGGGGGUACUCGAGUGGCGAACGGGUGAGUAACACGUGAGUAACCUGCCCUUGACUUCGGGAUAACUUCAGGAAACUGGGGCUAAUACCGGAUAGGAAUCCUUGCUGCAUGGUGGGGGUUGGAAAGCUUCGGCGGUUUUGGAUGGACUCGCGGCUUAACAGCUUGUUGGUGGGGUAGUGGCUUACCAAGGCUUUGACGGGUAGCCGGCCUGAGAGGGCGACCGGCCACAUUGGGACUGAGAUACGGCCCAGACUCCUACGGGAGGCAGCAGUGGGGAAUAUUGCACAAUGGGCGGAAGCCUGAUGCAGCAACGCCGCGUGCGGGAUGACGGCCUUCGGGUUGUAAACCGCUUUCAGCAGGGGCGAAGCUUGUGGUGACGGUACCUGCAGAAGAAGCACCGGCUAACUACGUG
rnacentral:rRNA from 1 species